UCCCUCAAACUUGCCUCCCUGCUCAGGUCAUCCUUCCCUUGGAUGUGCCGGUCCUGCCCAUGUAGCAGUUGGCCGUGUGUUGGUUGCCGGUGAGUUCGUCUGCGUCGGCGAUGGAUGGAGCCACGUAUGGAGCAGAGUCGUCGGACUGGGUACCACAGCAGCGAGGACACCGGAAGGAUGCGUUGACAAGAACAGAUCUAAGCCUGGAGGCAAAUAGCGCUGGACCAAUAGUACUGCUAGAAAAUUUAGUUUCCAUUCGGGUGGUGCUGUUGGAACUCUGUUGCUGCCGCAACUGCCAUUCGGGCCUGCUGACACUUAGGUAGUGACUGUUGGUGAU